rnacentral:rRNA from 1 species
GAUGAACGCUGGCGGCGUGCCUAAUACAUGCAAGUCGAGCGAACGGACGAGAAGCUUGCUUCUCUGAUGUUAGCGGCGGACGGGUGAGUAACACGUGGAUAACCUACCUAUAAGACUGGUAUAACUUCGGGAAACCGGAGCUAAUACCGGAUGAUAUUUUGAACCGCAUGGUUCAAAAGUGAAAGACGGUCUUGCUGUCACUUAUAGAUGGAUCCGCGCUGCAUUAGCUAGUUGGUAAGGUAACGGCUUACCAAGGCAACGAUGCAUAGCCGACCUGAGAGGGUGAUCGGCCACACUGGAACUGAGACACGGUCCAGACUCCUACGGGAGGCAGCAGUAGGGAAUCUUCCGCAAUGGGCGAAAGCCUGACGGAGCAACGCCGCGUGAGUGAUGAAGGUCUUCGGAUCGUAAAACUCUGUUAUUAGGGAAGAACAUAUGUGUAAGUAACUGUGCACAUAUUGACGGUACCUAAUCAGAAAGCCACGGCUAACUACGUG